UUAUUUUAAUUCAGUAACAAUGAGUGCUUAAAAGGUUUAUUUCUGGUAUGUCACAGCAAGACAAAUGUAUUGCCUUGAUGACUGCUACCUAUAAGCGCUUUUUUCAGUGGGUGACCUCUCUUGUGUAUUCACCCCGCAAAUGUAUUAUAUUAUGUUAUUCAUUU